rnacentral:rRNA from 1 species
UACGUAGGGGGCAAGCGUUGUCCGGAUUUAUUGGGCGUAAAGAGCGUGUAGGCGGCCAUACAGGUCCGUUGUGAAAACUCGAGGCUCAACCUCGAGACGUCGAUGGAAACCGUAUGGCUAGAGUCCGGAAGAGGAGAGUGGAAUUCCUGGUGUAGCGGUGAAAUGCGCAGAUAUCAGGAAGAACACCCGUGGCGAAGGCGGCUCUCUGGGACGGUACUGACGCUGAGACGCGAAAGCGUGGGGGAGCGAACAGG